rnacentral:lncRNA from 1 species
UGUCUUCAAGAUUCAUCAGUGUUGGAUUUUAUGCCUAUUUCCAAACCGAACAACGAACAUUUGUCUAUUAAGCAUAUUCGAAAGCACCUUUCUUGAAACCAAAGAAUAUGCAUGGACUUUGCUUGGUAAAAGUUGCAUAAACUUGGCUUGUGGAAGAAUCAGCAGACGACGACGUUUGUGAGACACAACAACGUUGAUCCUCCACCUGAAGCAUCUCCUCUUCCUCUGGAUCUCCUUUGGGUCUUUAUGUUGAGAAAUUGGAUUGUGUGGAUUCUGCUAACAUUCGUUUUACCUUUUAUCACCCAUAAAUGGGGUUCAUUGCUUCUACUUAAAAAUAAAGUGGAUGCAAGAUAGAGACGUCCAAACAAGCAGUAAAAAGCUAUAGCAAAUAUUGCAGAAAACGCAGAUAAAGUGAUUGAUAGCAUUACCGACAACCUUCCAAAUGAUAGCCAACUCAAGAAAAAAUUGGUGUUUGUAGACAAAAUAGUCGAAGGACUCGCUAAGAUUGGCUAUCCUGGCAUAUAAAUUUAUCGGCAAGGUGAAAAAAGCUGAAGAUGAAUUAGUGUCGUUGAGUACCCACCAAAAUUCCAAGGGAGGUGAGAUUCCACAGGAGGAUGAGGACAGACGUCCAAGAAAUCAAUGAGCAGCCAGGAAAUAACAAAAUUACAGAAUAAAGUUGAAAAUAAAUUCGAAUAAUUUGUAAAAACUAAUAAUUGUUUC